rnacentral:rRNA from 1 species
UUUAUGGAGAGUUUGAUCCUGGCUCAGGAUGAACGCUGGCGGCGUGCCUAAUACAUGCAAGUCGAGCGAACGGACGAGAAGCUUGCUUUUCUGAUGUUAGCGGCGGACGGGUGAGUAACACGUGGAUAACCUACCUAUAAGACUGGGAUAACUUCGGGAAACCGGAGCUAAUACCGGAUAAUAUUUUGAACCGCAUGGUUCAAAAGUGAAAGACGGUCUUGCUGUCACUUAUAGAUGGAUCCGCGCUGCAUUAGCUAGUUGGUAAGGUAACGGCUUACCAAGGCAACGAUGCAUAGCCGACCUGAGAGGGUGAUCGGCCACACUGGAACUGAGACACGGUCCAGACUCCUACGGGAGGCAGCAGUAGGGAAUCUUCCGCAAUGGGCGAAAGCCUGACGGAGCAACGCCGCGUGAGUGAUGAAGGUCUUCGGAUCGUAAAACUCUGUUAUUAGGGAAGAACAUAUGUGUAAGUAACUGUGCACAUCUUGACGGUACCUAAUCAGAAAGCCACGGCUAACUACGUGCCAGCAGCCGCGGUAAUACGUAGGUGGCAAGCGUUAUCCGGAAUUAUUGGGCGUAAAGCGCGCGUAGGCGGUUUUUUAAGUCUGAUGUGAAAGCCCACGGCUCAACCGUGGAGGGUCAUUGGAAACUGGAAAACUUGAGUGCAGAAGAGGAAAGUGGAAUUCCAUGUGUAGCGGUGAAAUGCGCAGAGAUAUGGAGGAACACCAGUGGCGAAGGCGACUUUCUGGUCUGUAACUGACGCUGAUGUGCGAAAGCGUGGGGAUCAAACAGGAUUAGAUACCCUGGUAGUCCACGCCGUAAACGAUGAGUGCUAAGUGUUAGGGGGUUUCCGCCCCUUAGUGCUGCAGCUAACGCAUUAAGCACUCCGCCUGGGGAGUACGACCGCAAGGUUGAAACUCAAAGGAAUUGACGGGGACCCGCACAAGCGGUGGAGCAUGUGGUUUAAUUCGAAGCAACGCGAAGAACCUUACCAAAUCUUGACAUCCUU